GACGAACGCUGGCGGCGUGCCUAAUACAUGCAAGUAGAACGCUGAAGGAGGAGCUUGCUCUUCUGGAUGAGUUGCGAACGGGUGAGUAACGCGUAGGUAACCUGCCUGGUAGCGGGGGAUAACUAUUGGAAACGAUAGCUAAUACCGCAUAACAGUAGAUGUUGCAUGACAUUUGCUUAAAAGGUGCAAUUGCACCACUACCAGAUGGACCUGCGUUGUAUUAGCUAGUUGGUGGGGUAACGGCUCACCAAGGCGACGAUACAUGGCCGACCUGAGAGGGUGAUCGGCCACACUGGGACUGAGACACGGCCCAGACUCCUACGGGAGGCAGCAGUAGGGAAUCUUCGGCAAUGGACGGAAGUCUGACCGAGCAACGCCGCGUGAGUGAAGAAGGUUUUCGGAUCGUAAAGCUCUGUUGUAAGAGAAGAACGAGUGUGAGAGUGGAAAGUUCACACUGUGACGGUAUCUUACCAGAAAGGGACGGCUAACUACGUG
rnacentral:rRNA from 1 species